rnacentral:rRNA from 1 species
AUUGAACGCUGGCGGCAGGCCUAACACAUGCAAGUCGAACGGUAACAGAAAGCAGCUUGCUGCUUUGCUGACGAGUGGCGGACGGGUGAGUAAUGUCUGGGAAACUGCCUGAUGGAGGGGGAUAACUACUGGAAACGGUAACUAAUACCGCAUAACGUCGCAAGACCAAAGAGGGGGACCUUCGGGCCUCUUGCCAUCGGAUGUGCCCAGAUGGGAUUAGCUAGUAGGUGGGGUAACGGCUCACCUAGGCGACGAUCCCUAGCUGGUCUGAGAGGAUGACCAGCCACACUGGAACUGAGACACGGUCCAGACUCCUACGGGAGGCAGCAGUGGGGAAUAUUGCACAAUGGGCGCAAGCCUGAUGCAGCCAUGCCGCGUGUAUGAAGAAGGCCUUCGGGUUGUAAAGUACUUUCAGCGGGGAGGAAGGGAGUAAAGUUAAUACCUUUGCUCAUUGACGUUACCCGCAGAAGAAGCACCGGCUAACUCCGUGCCAGCAGCCGCGGUAAUACGGAGGGUGCAAGCGUUAUAUCGGAAUUACUGGGCGUAAAGCGCACGCAGGCGGGUGGCAAGUCAGAUGUGAAAUCCCCGGGCUCAACCUGGGAACUGCAUCUGAUACUGGCAAGCUUGAGUCUCGUAGAGGGGGGUGGAAUUCCAGGUGUAGCGGUGAAAUGCGUAGAGAUCUGGAGGAACACCGGUGGCGAAGGCGGCCCCCUGGACGAAGACUGACGCUCAGGUGCGAAAGCGUGGGAGGCAGACAGGAUUAGAUACCCCGGUAGUUUCACGCCGUAAACGAUGUCGACUUGGAGGUUGUGCCCCUGAGGCGAGGCUUCCGGAGCUAACGCGUUAAGUCGACCGCCUGGGGAGUACGGCCGCAAGGUUAAAACUCAAAUGAAUUGACGGGGGCCCGCACAAGCGGUGGAGCAUGUGGUUUAAUUCGAUGCAACGCGAAGAACCUUACCUGGUCUUGACAUCCACAGAACUUUCCAGAGAUGGAUUGGUGCCUUCGGGAACUGUGAGACAGGUGCUGCAUGGCUGUCGUCAGCUCGUGUUGUGAAAUGUUGGGUUAAGUCCCGCAACGAGCGCAACCCUUAUCCUUUGUUGCCAGCGGUCCGGCCGGGAACUCAAAGGAGACUGCCAGUGAUAAACUGGAGGAAGGUGGGGAUGACGUCAAGUCAUCAUGGCCCUUACGACCAGGGCUACACACGUGCUACAAUGGCGCAUACAAAGAGAAGCGACCUCGCGAGAGCAAGCGGACCUCAUAAAGUGCGUCGUAGUCCGGAUUGGAGUCUGCAACUCGACUCCACGAAGUCGGAAUCGCUAGUAAUCGUGGAUCAGAAUGCC